rnacentral:rRNA from 1 species
UACGAAGGGGGGCUAGCGUUGCUCGGAAUACUGGGCGUAAAGCGUGCGCAGGCGGUUUUGUAAGUCUGACGUGAAAUCCCCCGGGCUUAACCUGGGAAUUGCGUUGGAGACUGCAAGGCUGGAGUCUGGCAGAGGGGGGUAGAAUUCCACGUGUAGCAGUGAAAUGCGUAGAGAUGUGGAGGAACACCAGUGGCGAAGGCGACUUUCUGGAUCUGUAACUGACGC